GCAGCCGCCGCGGUAAUACGUAGGUGGCAAGCGUUGUCCGGAAUUAUUGGGCGUAAAGAGCGCGUAGGCUGGUCUUUAAGUGAGUGGUGAAAGGUUCGGGCUCAACCCGGACACUGCCUUUCAUACUGGGGACCUUGAGUGUGGGAGAGGCGAGUGGAAUGGUCGGUGUAGCGGUGAAAUGCGUAGAUAUCGAUCGGAACACCCAUGGCGAAGGCAGCUCGCUGGCCUAACACUGACGCUGAGGCGCGAAAGCGUGGGGAGCAAACAGGAUUAGAUACCCCCGUAGUCCCUGUCUCUUAUAC
rnacentral:rRNA from 1 species